GCGGACGGACGCACAGACCUACAAACCCGCAAGCCUGGGAACCGGCUGUGGGAUCCCGCGCGCCGCCCCACCUAAGGGGUUAGCCACCUCGCCAUGAAGCCCCGCACCUGCUGAACUAGGAGCGCCCGAGGAUGUCUGUCCUGAGAAAGGCUUUCCCACCAUCUGAGGCCCGGCCCUAGGACUGUGGUUUCACACCAGCCAGCGAACCCUCAGCCUGCGCCCCGCCAGCCACAAUGGGAACGGCUCAGGUUCUGCCCGGCAUCCUGCAGAAGCACUGCUGCAUCCUACCAGACAGGAACACAGGUACGGCCACCUUCUUUCUGCACUUUGAGAUCA